AGCGUACACGGUGGAUGCCCUGGCAGUCAGAGGCGAUGAAGGGCGUGCUAAUCUGCGAUAAGCGCCGGUAAGGUGAUAUGAACCGUUAUAACCGGCGAUACCCGAAUGGGGAAACCCAGUGUGAUUCGUCACACUAUCAUUAACUGAAUCCAUAGGUUAAUGAGGCGAACCGGGGGAACUGAAACAUCUAAGUACCCCGAGGAAAAGAAAUCAACCGAGAUUCCCCCAGUAGCGGCGAGCGAACGGGGAGGAGCCCAGAGCCUGAAUCAGCAUGUGUGUUAGUGGAAGCGUCUGGAAAGGCGCGCGAUACAGGGUGACAGCCCCGUACACAAAAGCGCAUGUGCUGUGAGCUCGAUGAGUAGGGCGGGACACGUGGUAUCCUGUCUGAAUAUGGGGGGACCAUCCUCCAAGGCUAAAUACUCCUGACUGACCGAUAGUGAACCAGUACCGUGAGGGAAAGGCGAAAAGAACCCCGGCGAGGGGAGUGAAAAAGAACCUGAAACCGUGUACGUACAAGCAGUGGGAGCACAGGUUUACCUGUGUGACUGCGUACCUUUUGUAUAAUGGGUCAGCGACUUAUAUUCUGUAGCAAGGUUAACCGAAUAGGGGAGCCGGAGGGAAACCGAGUCUUAACCGGGCGUUAAGUUGCAGGGUAUAGACCCGAAACCCGGUGAUCUAGCCAUGGGCAGGUUGAAGGUUGGGUAACACUAACUGGAGGACCGAACCGACUAAUGUUGAAAAAUUAGCGGAUGACCUGUGGCUGGGGGUGAAAGGCCAAUCAAACCGGGAGAUAGCUGGUUCUCCCCGAAAGCUAUUUAGGUAGCGCCUCGUGAAUUCAUCUCCGGGGGUAGAGCACUGUUUCGGCUAGGGGGCCAUCCCGGCUUACCAACCCGAUGCAAACUGCGAAUACCGGAGAAUGUUAUCACGGGAGACACACGGCGGGUGCUAACGUCCGUCGUGAAGAGGGAAACAACCCAGACCGCCAGCUAAGGUCCCAAAGUCAUGGUUAAGUGGGAAACGAUGUGGGAAGGCCCAGACAGCCAGGAUGUUGGCUUAGAAGCAGCCAUCAUUUAAAGAAAGCGUAAUAGCUCACUGGUCGAGUCGGCCUGCGCGGAAGAUGUAACGGGGCUAAACCAUGCACCGAAGCUGCGGCAGCGACGCUUAUGCGUUGUUGGGUAGGGGAGCGUUCUGUAAGCCUGUGAAGGUGUGUCGUGAGGCAUGCUGGAGGUAUCAGAAGUGCGAAUGCUGACAUAAGUAACGAUAAAGCGGGUGAAAAGCCCGCUCGCCGGAAGACCAAGGGUUCCUGUCCAACGUUAAUCGGGGCAGGGUGAGUCGACCCCUAAGGCGAGGCCGAAAGGCGUAGUCGAUGGGAAACGGGUUAAUAUUCCCGUACUUGGUGUUACUGCGAAGGGGGGACGGAGAAGGCUAUGUUGGCCGGGCGACGGUUGUCCCGGUUUAAGCGUGUAGGUGUGUGUUCCAGGUAAAUCCGGUUCACUUUAACACUGAGGCGUGACGACGAGGCACUACGGUGCUGAAGCAACAAAUGCCCUGCUUCCAGGAAAAGCCUCUAAGCAUCAGGUAACAUCAAAUCGUACCCCAAACCGACACAGGUGGUCAGGUAGAGAAUACCAAGGCGCUUGAGAGAACUCGGGUGAAGGAACUAGGCAAAAUGGUGCCGUAACUUCGGGAGAAGGCACGCUGACACGUAGGUGAAGUGAUUUACUCAUGGAGCUGAAGUCAGUCGAAGAUACCAGCUGGCUGCAACUGUUUAUUAAAAACACAGCACUGUGCAAACACGAAAGUGGACGUAUACGGUGUGACGCCUGCCCGGUGCCGGAAGGUUAAUUGAUGGGGUCAGCGCAAGCGAAGCUCCUGAUCGAAGCCCCGGUAAACGGCGGCCGUAACUAUAACGGUCCUAAGGUAGCGAAAUUCCUUGUCGGGUAAGUUCCGACCUGCACGAAUGGCGUAAUGAUGGCCAGGCUGUCUCCACCCGAGACUCAGUGAAAUUGAACUCGCUGUGAAGAUGCAGUGUACCCGCGGCAAGACGGAAAGACCCCGUGAACCUUUACUAUAGCUUGACACUGAACAUUGAGCCUUGAUGUGUAGGAUAGGUGGGAGGCUUUGAAGCGUGGACGCCAGUCUGCGUGGAGCCGACCUUGAAAUACCACCCUUUAAUGUUUGAUGUUCUAACGUGGACCCGUUACCCGGGUUGCGGACAGUGUCUGGUGGGUAGUUUGACUGGGGCGGUCUCCUCCUAAAGAGUAACGGAGGAGCACGAAGGUUGGCUAAUCCUGGUCGGACAUCAGGAGGUUAGUGCAAUGGCAUAAGCCAGCUUGACUGCGAGCGUGACGGCGCGAGCAGGUGCGAAAGCAGGUCAUAGUGAUCCGGUGGUUCUGAAUGGAAGGGCCAUCGCUCAACGGAUAAAAGGUACUCCGGGGAUAACAGGCUGAUACCGCCCAAGAGUUCAUAUCGACGGCGGUGUUUGGCACCUCGAUGUCGGCUCAUCACAUCCUGGGGCUGAAGUAGGUCCCAAGGGUAUGGCUGUUCGCCAUUUAAAGUGGUACGCGAGCUGGGUUUAGAACGUCGUGAGACAGUUCGGUCCCUAUCUGCCGUGGGCGCUGGAGAACUGAGGGGGGCUGCUCCUAGUACGAGAGGACCGGAGUGGACGCAUCACUGGUGUUCGGGUUGUCAUGCCAAUGGCACUGCCCGGUAGCUAAAUGCGGAAGAGAUAAGUGCUGAAAGCAUCUAAGCACGAAACUUGCCCCGAGAUGAGUUCU
rnacentral:rRNA from 1 species